AUGUGGUGACACUAAUACAAGGAUGUAGGUGCUUAUUAGAGAAUGGAUUCACUGAAUUAACUGUAGGAAGAACAUCUGAUGGAGUCUUAUAGUAUGAUGACAGAUGAUUCUCCAGUGAAAGUAGUGCAUGUGAUCCUUUGACCUGAGAUCACCAUGGUAUCUUGUGUACAUAGAUUCUUACUUUGGUUUAUUCUCUAAUAUGCCACUUUGAGAUAUGUUUGGGAUAUUCUAG
rnacentral:lncRNA from 1 species